UGAUAUGUUUGAUAUUUUUGGUGGCUGUAAGUUGAGCUUCCACCAAGUAUCAAACAUGUCAGUG
rnacentral:pre_miRNA from 1 species